rnacentral:tRNA from 1 species
GGCGGAUGUAGCCCAGUGGAUCAAGGCAGUG